AUUGAACGCUGGCGGCAGGCCUAACACAUGCAAGUCGAACGAGUGGCGGACGGGUGAGUAAUGUCUGGGAACCUGCCUGAUGGAGGGGGAUAACUACUGGAAACGGUAGCUAAUACCGCAUACCAUCAGAUGUGCCCAGAUGGGAUGAGCUAGUUGGUGGGGUAACGGCUCACCACGGCGACGAUCCCUAGCUGGGCUGAGAGGAUGACCAGCCACACUGGAAGUGAGACACGGUCCAGACGCCGACGGGAGGCAGCAGUGGGGAAUAUUGAACAAUGGGCGACAGCCUUAUGCAGCCAUCCCGCGUGUAUGAAGAAGGCCUUCGGGUUGUAAAGUACUUUCAGCGGGGAGGCGGUACCCGCAGAAGAAGCACCGGCUAACUCCGUGCCAGCAGCCGCGGUAAUUC
rnacentral:rRNA from 1 species